rnacentral:misc_RNA from 1 species
GAAAUGCGAUAAGUAAUGUGAAUUGCAGAAUUCAGUGAAUCAUCGAAUCUUUGAACGCACCUUGCGCUCCUUGGUAUUCCUUGGAGCAUGCCUGUUUGAGUAUCAUGAAAUCUUCAAAGUAAAUCUUUUGUUAACUCAAUUGGUUUCUACUUUGGUAUUGGAGGUCUUUGCAGCUUCACACCUGCUCCUCUUUGUUCAUUAGCUGGAUCUCAGUGUUAUGCUUGGUUCCACUCGGCGUGAUAAGUUUUCUAUCGCUGAGGACACUGUAAAAGGUGGCCAAGGUAAAUGCAGAUGAACCGCUUCUAAUAGUCCAUUGACUUGGACAAUACUUUUAUGAUCUGAUCUCAAAUCAGGUAGGACUACCCGCUGAACUUAAGC